GGGAGACAACUUAUCUCCUUGGAACAAGAUUACAGUGACGGAUUGUACAUGAAGAUUAGGCAUUGGCAAGACUGGAUCUUUGCUUGAAAUGGAUUGAAAUUGAGCAGGAUUUUCGGGAUUGCUCCGUUUUGGGUGUCGACAGAUGGCUUCAUCUCCUUCUCGUUGGGACAAGAUUUCAGUGACCAGCUCUACGGGAAGAUCAGGC
rnacentral:misc_RNA from 1 species